rnacentral:misc_RNA from 1 species
GCAAAUCCCAGCAUAAAAAGGCAUCCCCGCUUUCAUUGCUCACACUUCAAAUAAACACCAGCAGGGAAGUUUUCAAGUCAUUCAGAACUGAACAGGUAAACUGACAAAAAUUUCACAUAACUGGGUCCAGAAUUCCAUUAGAAGGUAUCAAAUAUGCUUAAAGAAAGAAAAGUAGUAACGGAGAGGAUAUCCCAAACCACAGUCAUUUCACAGUUCCAUUAUAUGUGUUCAUACCCAGCACUCAUGCCAAAGGUAACCAUUGGAGAAGUCUGG